GCCUUGCUGGCUCAGUCGGUUAAGCGUCCGACUUCAGCUCAGGUCAUGAUCUCAUGGGUCGUGGGUUCUAGCCCCGCGUUGGGCU
rnacentral:tRNA from 1 species